UCCCGCUCCGCCCUCCCGCCCUCCUCCCUGGGCCGGGGCCGGUUCUCUGCUUUCCGCUUUCUUUCGUCCCCUCCACCUCUCCUCCCUUUCCUUCACUCUGCCUGCCUCCUCCUAGCCCUGUGCUCCCCCCAACCCCCCGCCCCCGUGUCUCCGUCUCCGCGUCUCUCUUUCUCCUUAAAUCACGCACCCCCCCCCCCCAAUCAGGGUCUUCUCUCCCCCGUCUGUCUCCCCCUUUCUGCUCUCCCAGCCUCCUUCCCCUCCCUCCGCUUCGGUCUCUCCAGCCACCCACCCACUGAGGGACAGAAAGGUGAAUCAGACCCAGAUCUGCCUUUGCAGACGGAGCUCACAGUCUGAUGGAGGAGACAGACCCAGACGCAGACAGUUCCAAUCCUGGGCGAUCGGGACAAGAAGAAUACUGGAGUGGGGUGCCAUUGCCUUCUCCGAUCAUGCCAGUAAGUAAUCCCAAAUGGCAGUUUAUCCCAGUGGACUUUAGGAAUUGGGAAGGGGGCCACCUUUUCUGUGCAUAUAGGCUGGUAGUGGGUGGGAAGAAGAUGACAAAAAAUUUUCAAUUUAUUUUUUAUUUUUGGCUGUACUGGGUCUUUGUUGCUGCACGAGGACUUUCUCCAGUUGUGGUGUGCAGGUCUCUUAUUGCGGUGGCUUCUCUUAUUGCAGAGCCUGGGUGUGUGAGCUCAGCAGUUCUGGCUCGCAGGUCCACUUGCCUUGUGGCACAUGGAAUCUUCCUGGACCAAGGAUCAAACCCGUGUCUCCUGCAUUGGCAGGUGGAUUCCCAAACACUGGACCACCAGGGAAGCCCCAGAAGAUGACAGAUCUUAUUCCCACUAUUAACUCUUUCCUGGCUGGAGGGUUGGUGUGGUUUUUAAAGGAGGGUCUCUCCACGGCCUCUCUCUUUCCCUUACAGCCAUGCCUUCUAGUCAUCUGAAUGGUGAAGGGCCUUCAACUAGUCCACUCUUCACAUCUCAGCAAAUGGGAGAGAAGAUGGUUCUGAGCUUCAUAGAGAGUGGAGUGGGAGUGGAUACCGUUUUUUCAAGCCCAUCAGUCAUCCACUUCUCCUUCCUCUGGUGAUAGAAUCUUCUUUUCCCAUGAGAAACCCAUUCUAGCCAGCACUCUCAGAGGAGGAUGAGAUGGUUGGAUGGCA